rnacentral:rRNA from 1 species
ACAACUUUCAAUAACGGAUCUCUUGGCUCUCGUAUCGAUGAAGAACGCAGCGAAAUGCGAUAAGUAAUGUGAAUUGCAGAAUUCAGUGAAUCAUCGAAUCUUUGAACGCACCUUGCGCUCCUUGGUAUUCCAUGGAGCAUGCCUGUUUGAGUGUCAUUAUUA